AUGCGGAGAGACAAACAUACCAAGAGGGUUCAUGCAGCCACGUCACAUGGAAGGAGUGGCCAUGGCCGGGCCCAGGGCCAUGGCCGUGAGGCAGACCUGAGAGGGGAAGGUGGGGCCAUGCUGAGGGGCACCGCGGUGCAGCCAGGAGCAGCCCGCGGGCAGCAGAGUGGUCCGGACAGCAGUGGCAGCGGGCAUCUGUACGGAGAGGUGGCGGACAGAGAGCAGGAGAGGGCUGGCCCUGGACCACUGCUGUUUGGUCUCUGCCUCCGCAGCCCUCCUGGAGCCCCCAACAGACCCACCAGAGUCAUCCGCAUCUACCGUGCCGGCACCCCGACGCCCUGCCAACCCCUGCCCCUCACCAGCUCUAAGGCCGCUGGGGCUCGCUGCGGGGCACCCACCCACCCACCCUUGGCCCGGGAUGGUCUGCAUACCCCGCUAACUGCUGGCUCUCCUCUGACUGAGUGUCUGAACCACACCCAUCCUCCUGGCAUCUACUUGCUGUCCCCUCUCCUGCAGGGCCUGUGGCUCCAGACUGAGGCCACCGUCACUGGCCUGGUGCUGGGGGACGAGCUGCAAGAGGCCCGCUUGUCCUGGCUGGUGGCCGGGGCAGCGCCCCGCAGGGCUGUGGUGGAAGGGCAGCUGUGGCCACUCCACAAUGGCUCCCAGAGCCUGAGCAGCCAGCUGGCCCUGCCUUGGGCCUCGUGGUCCUCAGGAGCCCCUGUCACCUGCAUGCUGAGCCACCCUGACCUGCCGUCCCAUGUGGAGGCAGUGGCGCUGAGAGAGCUCGGAGAGGCCGCUGCCACGGCACCCAGCAGCCUCACUGUCCACAUCCUGACCACACGAGGGGCAGCCUCUGGGCUCCUGUGCGAGGCGCCCGCCUUCUCACCCCCGGACAUUGUCAUCGCCUGGCUGGAGGGUCAGCACGGAGUGGACCAUCCUUGGUUUGCCACUGCGCACCCCACGGCCCAGCCUGGGAGCACCACGUUCCACACCUGGAGAGUCCUGCACAUCCUGGCUGCCCAGGCCCACAGCCAGCCACCUACACGGGUGUGGUUGGGCACGAUGCACCCCGGAAUGUGCUCAACACCAGCUGGAGCCUGGAGGCUGGCGGUGAGUCACACACAGGCACAGGGGCCUCCUCACCCUGUCCUGGGCAAGGGGAGUGGGACCCCCCACCCCUGGUGCUCCUGGAGUGCAGGUCCACGCUGCUCUUUCUCCAGGGGUCCCGUUCCCCACACUCUGGCACAGACCAGACCCCGUGUUGGGCUGACCACAGCUGA